UGACUGCCAAGGGAAGAGGGGCUCUCCGUGACCUCUUGGUAAAAUCCAGAGUAUACUUUUACUAUGACUUAAUUCUCUGCACUGGGGACACCUAACGUAGCCAGGAAUGGUGUGAACAGACCACUAGCCACAGGGACAGCAUAGAGGCGUCCAUCACUAGACGUCCACUUCAUGAAGUAGGAGUUAAAAGAAUAAAGAGGUAAUUUAUGAGAAACUAAUUUUCAAUUGACAAAUAUUUUCAGGAGGUGUGAUGACCUACUUUUCUCCAUAACUCUUCAUGGGCCCAGGGACAAUGGUGGCUCCUAUUACAGUUUGCAAAUGGUACAAUCAUUCCGCUCAGGUUUAAAAUAUUAAAUGCUCAUCUUCUAUCACUUACAGAGGGAUUCUUUCCCUGAAGCUCUAUUUAAGGAGAGGGAAAUUGCGGCCGUCAUUGUCCAGGCCUCCCACAUACAGAAACUUGGUAGACAGACAUGUUCUGGGUCACAUGGCUAAGCUGUACUGACAUGCUGCUCGAGUCCAGAGGUAUCGCCAUUGAGUUCAGCACAGUCAGGACCAGAGCCUUUUCCACCAUUCAUCUCAGGAAGCCAACACACACAGCUGUGUGGUUCCCUGUGUGACAUCAUCUUUGAGAUAUGACAGAGACAAAAAGCAGGCUGAGAGUCCCUGCUCUGGACUCUAGAUCACAAUGAAGCCACAUCUUUCUACAACUUUUGAAAGAAGCAGGUCAGUAUGCCAAUAGCAAGAAGACUUGUUCUUGAAAGGUUGAGUUUUUCAAAUGAGUCCUGAAAGAAUUCUACCACACUGCCUAUUUCCCAAGCAGGGAUCAUGGGAGAAAGGAAAUUUUGAAGAAAAUGGUUCUAAUGCCAUUUUGUUAAAAGUACUGAGAGAUUUACAAUGAUCAAGUAAUAUGCCAGUUCUUUCAAAGGAUGCCAACAUCUGAUGCCAACAUAAUUACAAGUUGGAAAAAUGUGUAAUGAAUCAGGCGGCUCAUAAUUUCCCUUAGAAUAUGUAUGCACAACUUAUUAAAUGACAUAAAAAGCAAAGAGUCACGGCAAAUGUUGAAACCUUAAAUCUGAGUUUCAUUGCUUUGGGGCAUUUUCG
rnacentral:lncRNA from 1 species